rnacentral:rRNA from 1 species
UACAGAGGUCUCAAGCGUUGUUCGGAUUCAUUGGGCGUAAAGGGUGCGUAGGCGGCGCGGUAAGUCGGGUGUGAAAUCUCGGGGCUUAACUCCGAAACUGCAUUCGAUACUGCCGUGCUUGAGGACUGGAGAGGAGACUGGAAUUUACGGUGUAGCGGUGAAAUGCGUAGAUAUCGGGAGGAAUACCAGUGGCGAAGGCGCUGACCUGGACGAAGGUUGACGCUGAGGUGCGAAAGCGCGGGGAGCAAACAGG